UAGCACUCCCCUAGACAAGCAUGGAAGAGGCCCCUGGGCCUGACAAUACACACAUGGUUAAGGCAUUGCCACCUACUUCGUGGCAUCUAAUCAUCUUUUCUG
rnacentral:ncRNA from 1 species